AUUGAACGCUGGCGGCAGGCUUAACACAUGCAAGUCGAGCGGGGUGAUGGUGCUUGCACUAUCACUUAGCGGCGGACGGGUGAGUAAUGCUUAGGAAUCUGCCUAUUAGUGGGGGACAACAUCUCGAAAGGGAUGCUAAUACCGCAUACGUCCUACGGGAGGAAGCAGGGGAUCACUUGUGACCUUGCGCUAAUAGAUGAGCCUAAGUCGGAUUAGCUAGGUGGUGGGGUAAAGGCCUACCAAGGCGACGAUCUGUAGCGGGUCUGAGAGGAUGAUCCGCCACACUGGGACUGAGACACGGCCCAGACUCCUACGGGAGGCAGCAGUGGGGAAUAUUGGACAAUGGGGGGAACCCUGAUCUAGCCAUGCCGCGUGUGUGAAGAAGGCCUUAUGGUUGUAAAGCACUUUAAGCGAGGAGGAGGCUCUUUUGGUUAAUACCCAAGAUGAGUGGACGUUACUCGCAGAAUAAGCACCGGCUAACUCUGUGCCAGCCGCCGCCGUAA
rnacentral:rRNA from 1 species